ACGGCAUAGACACACGCGUUGUUCGGAGUGUGUUACGUCUUUCUGGCCCAGACUACACAAUCUCCCCUCCCCUCCCCCCUACUCGUCCGACUGGCCUAAUCGUGUACUUCCUGGCGAAAUUAAGCGGCAUUUCAGACCGAAGUUUCCGGACUUAACAGUUUACUAUUUACUGGAAAACAUUCACUCGGCCGUUCCAUUCGGCAACAAGGCAAGGUUCACCGUGACACUUUUUAUUAGUGACCUCUAAUUGCUUCUGGACUGCGGAGACAUAUAUAGUCACUGGCUUUGUUGGGACCGAAGACACAUGUAGGCUGCAUGAGGAUGUCGGUCAUGCUGAAUUUGGACCACUGCAGUCAGUUCUGGCCACUCCAUUACAGGAAGGAUGUGGAGGCUUUGGAAAAGGCACAGAGGUGGUUUACCAGACUGCUGCUUGGAUUAGGGGCUGUUUGACACGGGGACAGACUUGGAUUGUUUUCUCUGGAAUGCCAGAGGUUGUGGGGAGGCCUCAAAGAAGUAACUUGGGUGGCACAGUGGUACAGCGUUAGAGUUGGUGCCUUAGAGCGCUGGAGAAUCUGGUGUGA